AACGAACGCUGGCGGCAUGCCUAACACAUGCAAGUCGAACGAGACCUUCGGGUCUAGUGGCGCACGGGUGCGUAACGCGUGGGAACCUGCCCUUAGGUUCAGAAUAACUCCCCGAAAGGGGUGCUAAUACCGGAUAAUGUCUUCGGACCAAAGAUUUAUCGCCUUUGGAUGGGCCCGCGUUGGAUUAGCUAGUUGGUAGGGUAAAAGCCUACCAAGGCGACGAUCCAUAGCUGGUCUGAGAGGAUGAUCAGCCACACUGGGACUGAGACACGGCCCAGACUCCUACGGGAGGCAGCAGUGGGGAAUAUUGGACAGUGGGCGAAAGCCUGAUCCAGCAAUGCCGCGUGAGUGAUGAAGGCCUUAGGGUUGUAAAGCUCUUUUACCCGGGAUGAUAAUGACAGUACCGGGAGAAUAAGCUCCGGCUAACUCCGUG
rnacentral:rRNA from 1 species